rnacentral:lncRNA from 10 species
GAGUAGCUGGGAUUACAGGUGGGCGUCAUCACACCCAGCUAAUUUUUGUAUUUUUAGUAGAGAUGGGGUUUCACUGUUGACCAGGCUGGUCUCGAACUCCUGACCUCAAGUGGUCCAUCUGCCUCGGCCUCCUAAAGUGCUGGGAUUACACGCGUGAGCCACUACGGCCGGCCUCAAGAGUCUUCUUAACUGAAAUUGAAGUGACAUUUAUUCAAAGAUGUAAUAGAGCUGAAGAAAAUUUGGCAAAGGAGACCAAGAGUAAUACUUCCUGAGAAACUGCAAGAUUCAUGGCACCAUGCGGGACUCUUUCUUUUAAACUCAACUGAAAGAAUGGUGACCAAGAGUAAUAUGAUAUGCCUCAGCACAGACCAAUCCACUUACAUCCUUUGUCCAGAAAUUGAUGCCUGUGCCUCUUCGUCGUUCCUUGGGCCGCCUCCUCUCUCGGAUGGACAGCCUCUUAGAGGACUGCUCAUCCAAAUCUGCUUCUUCAUUCUCUGGCCAGAGAUAAAAUAAAGUAUGAACUUUAAGAAUCUGGGGAUGUG